GGCAGCGGUAGCUCAGUGGGUAAGACAUUGGGCUCUUGAUCCCAAGCUCUUGACCUUCUCUUUAUCAGAAGGUCAUGGGUUCACAUCCCAGCCCUGCCA